GUGGCUGUAGCUCAAUUGGUAGAGCAUCCGGUUGUGGCCCGGAAGGUCGCGGGUUCAAACCCCGUCAGCCACC
rnacentral:tRNA from 2 species